rnacentral:rRNA from 1 species
AUUGAACGCUGGCGGCAUGCCUUACACAUGCAAGUCGAACGGCAGCACGGGAGCAAUCCUGGUGGCGAGUGGCGAACGGGUGAGUAAUAUAUCGGAACGUGCCCAGUCGUGGGGGAUAACGUAGCGAAAGCUACGCUAAUACCGCAUACGAUCUAUGGAUGAAAGCGGGGGAUCGCAAGACCUCGCGCGAUUGGAGCGGCCGAUAUCAGAUUAGGUAGUUGGUGAGGUAAAGGCUCGCCAAGCCGACGAUCUGUAGCUGGUCUGAGAGGACGACCAGCCACACUGGGACUGAGACACGGCCCAGACUCCUACGGGAGGCAGCAGUGGGGAUUUUGGACAAGUGGGCGG